rnacentral:rRNA from 1 species
CCCUACUGCUAUUGGGGUGGGACUAAGACAUGCAGGUUGUGCGUCUCUAAGCUAUGGUAGAGACGCGGCGUACGGCUCAGUAACACGUGGCUAACCUACCCUUAGGACGGGGACAACCCCGGGAAACUGGGGCUAACAUCUGAUAGGUGAGGAGGCCUGGAAUGGUUCCUCCCUGAAAAGGCGUUGAAACCAUGCUUUUCAGCGUCGCCUAAGGAUGGGGCCGCGCCCGAUCAGGUUGUUGGUGGGGUAACGGCUCACCAAGCCAUUAACCGGUACGGGCCGUGAGAGCGGGAGCCCGGAGAUGGGCACUGAGACAAGGGCCCAGGCCCUACGGGGCGCAGCAGUCGCGAAAACUCCGCAAUGCGCGAAAGCGUGACGGGGCUACCCCGAGUGCCGUCCGCUGAGGAUGGCUUUUCCCCGGUGUAAUGAGCCGGGGGAAUAAGGAGAGGGCAAGACUGGUGUCAGCCGCCGCGGUAAUACCAGCUCUCCGAGUGGUAGGGACAAUUAUUGGGCUUAAAGCGUCCGUAGCCGGCUUGGCAAGUCUUCUGUUAAAUUCAGCGACUUAAUCGUUGAGCCGCGGGAGAUACUACUAGGCUAGGAGGCGGGAGAGGCCGACGGUAUUCCCGGGGUAGGGGUGAAAUCCUAUAAUCCCGGGAGGACCACCAGUGGCGAAGGCUGUCGGCUAGAACGCGCUCGACGGUGAGGGACGAAAGCUGGGGGAGCGAACCGGAUUAGAUACCCGGGUAGUCCCAGCCGUAAACGAUGCGGGCUAGGUGUUGAGGUGGCUACGAGCCACUUCAGUGCCGCAGGGAAGCCAUUAAGCCCGCCGCCUGGGGAGUACGGCCGCAAGGCUGAAACUUAAAGGAAUUGGCGGGGGAGCACCACAAGGCGUGAAGCUUGCGGUUCA